rnacentral:pre_miRNA from 1 species
CAACUACUCCCUCUGUCCCAAAUUUCUUGUCUUAGAUUUGUCUAGAUACGGAUGCAUCUAAUACUAAAAUGUGACUUGAUACAUCCGUAUCUAGACAAAUCUAAGACAAGAAUUUUGGGACGGAGGGAGUACUUU